rnacentral:rRNA from 1 species
GUGGGGAAUAUUGGGCAAUGGGCGAAAGCCUGACCCAGCAACGCCGCGUGAAGGAAGAAGGUCUUCGGAUCGUAAACUUCUAUCCUUGGUGAAGAUAAUGACGGUAGCCGAGAAGGAAGCCCCGGCUAACUACGUGCCAGCAGCCGCGGUAAUACGUAGGGGGCAAGCGUUGUCCGGAAUGAUUGGGCGUAAAGGGCGCUGAGGCGGCCUAGUAAGUCUGGAGUGAAAGUCCUGCUUUUAAGGUGGGAAUUGCUUUGGAUACUGUCGAGCUUGAGGGCAGGAGAGGUAAGUGGAAUUCACGGUGUAGCGGUGAAAUGCGUAGAGAUCGGGAGGAACACCAGUGGCGAAGGCGACUUACUGGACUGUAACUGACGCUGAGGCGCGAAAGUGUGGGGAGCAAACAGGAUUAGAUACCCCUGUAGUCC